AUUGAACGCUGGCGGCAUGCCUUACACAUGCAAGUCGAACGGCAGCACGGACUUCGGUCUGGUGGCGAGUGGCGAACGGGUGAGUAAUGUAUCGGAACGUACCUUUCAGUGGGGGAUAACGUAGCGAAGGUUACGCUAAUACCGCAUAUUCUGUGAGCAGGAAAGCAGGGGAUCGCAAGACCUUGCGCUGAUUGAGCGGCCGAUAUCAGAUUAGCUAGUUGGUGGGGUAAAGGCCUACCAAGGCUACGAUCUGUAGCGGGUCUGAGAGGAUGAGCCGCCGCACUGGAACUGAGACACGGUCCAGACUCCUACGGGAGGCAGCAGUGGGGAAUUUUGGACAAUGGGGGCAACCCUGAUCCAGCCAUGCCGCGUGAGUGAAGAAGGCCUUCGGGUUGUAAAGCUCUUUCGGCCGGGAAGAAAUCGCAUAGGCUAAUACCCUGUGUGGAUGACGGUACCGGAAUAAGAAGCACCGGCUAACUACGUGCCAGCCGCCGCGGUAACAC
rnacentral:rRNA from 1 species